rnacentral:rRNA from 1 species
UACGAAGGGGGCUAGCGUUGUCCGGAAUUAUUGGGCGUAAAGAGCUCGUAGGCGGCCUGUUGCGUCCGCUGUGAAAGCCCGGGGCUUAACCCCGGGUCGGCAGUGGAUACGGGCAGGCUAGAGGUAGGUAGGGGAGAAUGGAAUUCCCGGUGUAGCGGUGAAAUGCGCAGAUAUCGGGAGGAACACCGGUGGCGAAGGCGGUUCUCUGGGCCUUACCUGACGCUGAGGAGCGAAAGCGUGGGGAGCGAACAGG